rnacentral:rRNA from 1 species
GACGGAGGAUGCAAGCGUUAUCCGGAAUGAUUGGGCGUAAAGCGUCCGCAGGUGGCAGUUCAAGUCUGCUGUCAAAGACCGGGGCUUAACUUCGGAAAGGCAGUGGAAACUGAACAGCUAGAGUAUGGUAGGGGCAGAGGGAAUUCCUGGUGUAGCGGUGAAAUGCGUAGAGAUCAGGAGGAACACCGGUGGCGAAGGCGGUGAUCUGGGCCGACACUGACGCUGUAGAGCGAAAGCGUGGGGAGCGAACAGG